rnacentral:rRNA from 1 species
CCUACGGGAGGCAGCAGUGAGGAAUAUUGGUCAAUGGACGCAAGUCCGAACCAGCCAUGCCGCGUGAAGGAAGACGGCUCUAUGAGUUGUAAACUGCUUUUGUACGAGGGUAAACGCAGAUACGUGUAUCUGUUUGAAAGUAUCGUACGAAUAAGGAUCGGCUAACCCCGUGCCAGCAGCCGCGGUAAUACGGAGGAUUCAAGCGUUAUCCGGAUUUAUUGGGUUUAAAGGGUGCGUAGGCGGGCGGUUAAGUUUGAGGUGAAAUCCCGAGGCUCAACUUCGGAAUUGCCUCUGAUACUGGUCGGCGAGAGAGUAGUUGCGGUAGGCGGAAUGUGUGGUGUAGCGGUGAAAUGCUUAGAGAUCAGACAGAACACCGAUUGCGAAGGCAGCUUACCAAGCUACUUCUGACGUUGAGGCACGAAAGCGUGGGGAGCAAACAGGAUUAGAUACCCCAGUAGUC